rnacentral:rRNA from 1 species
GAUGAACGCUAGCGGCAGGCUUAAUACAUGCAAGUCGAGGGGUAGCAAGAUUGUAGCAAUACAAUUGUUGACGACCGGCAAACGGGUGCGGAACACGUACACAACCUUCCUACAAGUGGGGAAUAGCCCAGAGAAAUUUGGAUUAAUACCCCGUAACAUAGCGAUGUGGCAUCACAUUGCUAUUAUAGCUUCGGCGCUUGUUGAUGGGUGUGCGGCUGAUUAGAUAGUUGGCGGGGUAACGGCCCACCAAGUCUACGAUCAGUAGCUGAUGUGAGAGAAUGAUCAGCCACACGGGCACUGAUACACGGGCCCGACUCCUACGGGAGGCAGCAGUAAGGAAUAUUGGACAAUGGACGCAAGUCUGAUCCAGCCAUGCCGCGUGAAGGAUUAAGGUCCUCUGGAUUGUAAACUUCUUUUAUAAGGGACGAAAAAAGGUCUUUCUAGAUCGUCUGACGGUACCUUAUGAAUAAGCACCGGCUAACUCCGUGCCAGCAGCCGCGGUAAGAC